AGAGUUUGAUCAUGGCUCAGAUUGAACGCUGGCGGCAGGCCUAACACAUGCAAGUCGAACGGUAACAGGAAACAGCUUGCUGUUUCGCUGACGAGUGGCGGACGGGUGAGUAAUGUCUGGGAAACUGCCUGAUGGAGGGGGAUAACUACUGGAAACGGUAGCUAAUACCGCAUAACGUCGCAAGACCAAAGAGGGGGACCUUCGGGCCUCUUGCCAUCAGAUGUGCCCAGAUGGGAUUAGCUAGUAGGUGGGGUAACGGCUCACCUAGGCGACGAUCCCUAGCUGGUCUGAGAGGAUGACCAGCCACACUGGAACUGAGACACGGUCCAGACUCCUACGGGAGGCAGCAGUGGGGAAUAUUGCACAAUGGGCGCAAGCCUGAUGCAGCCAUGCCGCGUGUAUGAAGAAGGCCUUCGGGUUGUAAAGUACUUUCAGCGGGGAGGAAGGGAGUAAAGUUAAUACCUUUGCUCAUUGACGUUACCCGCAGAAGAAGCACCGGCUAACUCCGUGCCAGCAGCCGCGGUAAUACGGAGGGUGCAAGCGUUAAUCGGAAUUACUGGGCGUAAAGCGCACGCAGGCGGUUUGUUAAGUCAGAUGUGAAAUCCCCGGGCUCAACCUGGAACUGCAUCUGAUACUGGCAAGCUUGAGUCUCGUAGAGGGGGGUAGAAUUCCAGGUGUAGCGGUGAAAUGCGUAGAGAUCUGGAGGAAUACCGGUGGCGAAGGCGGCCCCCUGGACGAAGACUGACGCUCAGGUGCGAAAGCGUGGGGAGCAAACAGGAUUAGAUACCCUGGUAGUCCACGCCGUAAACGAUGUCGACUUGGAGGUUGUGCCCUUGAGGCGUGGCUUCCGGAGCUAACGCGUUAAGUCGACCGCCUGGGGAGUACGGCCGCAGGGUUAAAACUCAAAUGAAUUGACGGGGGCCCGCACAAGCGGUGGAGCAUGUGGUUUAAUUCGAUGCAACGCGAAGAACCUUACCUGGUCUUGACAUCCACGGAAGUUUUCAGAGAUGAGAAUGUGCCUUCGGGAACCGUGAGACAGGUGCUGCAUGGCUGUCGUCAGCUCGUGUUGUGAAAUGUUGGGUUAAGUCCCGCAACGAGCGCAACCCUUAUCCUUUGUUGCCAGCGGUCCGGCCGGGAACUCAAAGGAGACUGCCAGUGAUAAACUGGAGGAAGGUGGGGAUGACGUCAAGCCAUCAUGGCCCUUACGACCAGGGCUACACACGUGCUACAAUGGCGCACACAAAGAGAAGCGACCUCGCGAGAGCAAGCGGACCUCAUAAAGUGCGUCGUAGUCCGGAUUGGAGUCUGCAACUCGACUCCAUGAAGUCGGAAUCGCUAGUAAUCGUGGAUCAGAAUGCCACGGUGAAUACGUUCCCGGGCCUUGUACACACCGCCCGUCACACCAUGGGAGUGGGUUGCAAAAGAAGUAGGUAGCUUAACCUUCGGGAGGGCGCUUACCACUUUGUGAUUCAUGACUGGGGUGAAGUCGUAACAAGGUAACCGUAGGGGAACCUGCGGUUG
rnacentral:rRNA from 1 species